rnacentral:lncRNA from 1 species
GGAAAAAGUAAACCGAAAGCUCAGUGGGCUAGUGGAACUCAGAGCUCGACCCAUUGAUUAAAGACAGAGCUCGCAGGUCGGUUAGUCUCGCUUGGAUAAAGUAAACCGAAAGCGAGCUCGCAGGUCGGUUAGUCUCGCUUGGAUAAAGUAAACCGAAAGCGAGCUCGCAGGUCGAUUAGCCCAGCUCGGAAAAAGUAAACCGAAAGCUCAGUGGGCUAGUGGAACUCAGAGCUCGACCCAUUGAUUAAAGACAGAGCUCGACCCAUUGAUUAAAGACAGAGCUCGCAGGUCGGUUAGUCUCGCUUGGAUAAAGUAAACCGAAAGCGAGCUCGCAGGUCGGUUGGUACAGCUCGGAAAGAGUAAACUGAAAACUCAGACUAGCUAAAUGAAUUCUGGGUCUGAUCAAUUAAAAGGCAAGACGGAAAAAACAAUAUCGCAGAUUUCUCAGAAAAAACCACGAAGAAAGCAGUCUCAACACCUUAUUCAUAAUAAAGAAGGAACAGUUC